rnacentral:misc_RNA from 1 species
GAUGAAGAACGUAGUGAAAUGCGAUAAGUAAUGUAAAUUGCAGAAUUCAGUGAAUCAUCGAAUCUUUGAACGCACAUUGCGCCCCCUGGUAUUCCGGGGGGCAUGCCUGUCCGAGCGUCAUUACAACCCUCAAGCUCAACUUGGUGUUGGGCCCCGCCGCCCCGGCGGGCCCUAAAGUCAGUGGCGGUGCCGUCCGGCUCCGAGCGUAGUAAUUCUUCUCGCUCUGGAGGUCCGGUCGUGUGCUCGCCAGCAACCCCCAAUUUUUUUCAGGUUGACCUCGGAUCAGGUAGGGAUACCCGCUGAACUUAAGCAUAUCAAUAAGCGGAGGA